CCUGCUGUAGUCACACACACAAGAACAAUGAUUAUUUAUUCAGUCAUUCUGUUCUCUGCCUUGACAUGUGUGAGUUUUGGAGAUGAAAUCACAGCAGACAGCACUGAGGAAUCUGCUGCAGUGGGUUCAACUGUUACUUUAUCCUGCAGUUAUUCCUCUGCAAAUACACUUCAGUGGUACCGUCAGUAUCCCGGAUCAGCUCCUCAAUUUCGUGUGCUUAUAAUAGAGAGUGUGAAAGAGACUAUGACAUCUGCUGUAGAUCCCAGGAUCUCUACUAAACUCAAAAAAGAAAAACAAGCUACAAAAGAAAUCAAACAUGUGGAUCUGAUCAUCUCCUCUGCUGCUGUAUCAGACUCUGCUCUGUACUACUGUGCUCUGAGGCCCACAGUCACAGGAAACACAUCAGCACUGUACAAAAACGUGACACAGAUGAAGUGUACAAAAUUUUUUUUUCUAUAAAUAUAGGUAAUUAUAAAUUUAUACUGUAUUAAUAUGACAUGGGGUAAAUCAUAUCGUUGCAGAAGUGGUAUGAUAAAUUAUGCUUAUUUGUUUAAGUAACCACAAGAGGGUGCUAUGCACUAUAGGAUAUGAAUAGUAAUCAAAUGACAGUGGUGUAUAUGAAACAGAUAUGAUUUGAUCUUCUCUCUC